rnacentral:lncRNA from 1 species
CAGAAUACAAACUUUGCUAAUCCAAUGUAUGCAAGACUUUAUACUACAGACAGUACACAGGUGCUUUUACCAAAAGAUAGUGACAGUGAAGAGGCUUUAGAUAAAAACGGAGAUCUGAACUUUUAUGGAUCAAAGGGCAAUCCAAAGAAGUCAAAUUUUUGAUAAUUGCCAAUAUCAUGAUUUUAAUAGACCAUUUCAGAAUCUAUGGGAUUAUGGGUAGUUUUCAUUGUUCGUACCCAAAAAUGAAAUAACAUUACGUCAUUGGUUGAAUUUCAAUUGUUUAAGACGGUUUUAACCAAUCACAAUGCUGAGGUGUACACUUUUGAAAAUAUUUCCCAGAAUACAUUAGAUUCUGCAAUGGUGAAUUGUGUGUACAGAUGUAGUUCUUUCAUAUCAUUGCUCAGUUGUUGAAUUUGUAAGAAAGAGGGUCAAAUUUGGUAGAAUUGGAUGAAAUCUAAUUGCUUAGCAAUUUAGUAAUAAUAACAUAUACACAGAUAUUUAAUUAACAAAUUCAUGUACAUGUGUAGUUCUAUUCUUGUUAAAGAAUAACUUUAAAAACUAUAGACAAUUUGCAUCUGUUUAUCAGUUCUAUGAAUAAUUGUGGACAAAAGGGGAUAAUUUGAUUCAAACAUUUGCCUUACAUGUUUUUUUCGUAAAGAGUGAAUGCAAAUUUGAUCUUUCUGUACUCAAAAGUACUUUUAUUAAAUGCUAUGACUUAAAGAGUUAAAUUUAUGCAUCAUUCAUUAAAAUUCUUGACAACUAUUGCUAACAGUGAUUAUCAAUGCCUUUCAUAGAAUUUUAAUAAAGGAUAUCACCUUGAAAAAUUCAAAAAUGGUGUCAGUUAUUUUGAUCCUGUUCUAUUUUUGGCAUUAAUAAAAUAAAAGAUUUAUUUUAGGAAUGAAACAUAUUUUUUCCUCUGAUACCAUUGUAAAUAACGUCAUCAGAUUGCUUGAGAGAAACUUUGCAGCCAUCAAGCAAACACCAUUUAGGGUGCAUGUUUGUGUUUGUGUAUGAAAUAAAUGACAUUCAAAUAUCAAGAGCUUUAUACAUGAUGAAUUUGAUUGGUUAGUGUGAAUGUGGUACCUAAAAUGAUUUGAUGCUAAUUCAGAAUAUUUGUUGAUAGAAAUUAUUAUUAUAAACCACGUAAACACUGCAAUAUUAAUAUAUCUGUGUUUAAUAGUUUUCUGUAUUUUUGAGGAAUACAUUGUAGACAUUAAUUGCUGUUACUUUUCCUGUCAAUUAAAAAUUACAGUUUUUACCCAAUAUUAAGGUGGUACCUAACACUACAGGGAGAUAACUCUGUAAAGUCAGCUAAACGUUUUAAUUACGUUGUGUUCUAAAAGGAAUAUUAAGCUUCUCAAUGAUCAAAAUUGGUGUUUGUCAAACUGCUAUAUAACCAGUGUAAUUUUUCUGACAAAACGGUUGGUUAAAUAUUUUUGAAAUUUUGAAAUUUUUGUUAAAGACAAAAUUUUAAGAAAAUUAAACGAGCCAAAUUAAUUUUAGUGAAAGUGUUGGGUACCACCUUAAGUGAAUAUUUUCAUAUUUUCACUUAAAAAAAUCUUUUUUAGUGCUUAAAUUGUGUAUUUUCUUACAGUGUUGGGAAGGCAGUUUUGUAUAACAUAUCAUUAUAAUUAAAACGUCCAAGUUUGAUCAGUUGUCCUUUUUAAAAAGGAAAUUUAUCUAUAUACAGUGUACAUUCAUUAAUACAUACAAACUUAUAUAUAUAUAUAUUCAUAUCUUUGACAUUAAAUGUUUGAAGAUUAGUUGCAUUGUAAACUCUAUUGUGCAGAGUUCACGAUCUACAGGGUUUUACAUCGGCCAUUGUUUUGUUUUUAUGUGUGAGAGUGGUAUAAUUGUGAGUAUAACUGCUGACCAAUAAGAUCUGGUGCUUAACUUUGACCUCUGACCUUCAAGGGCAAGGUCAUUUCAUUGUAAUUAUAGCUAUUUUUGAGGAUUUGUGAAUAAUGAAAUGAAUUGUUAUUAUUGAUGUAUUUCCGUUUAUAUUUUAUUUAUACAUGUUUGUGCUUUCAUUUUACAUAAAUAUAAUUUUUCAUGUUGGUACUGUUAUAUAAAUUGUAUUUUUUAUACUUAGUUUUUAGAAAAUUCUAGUGUAUUUAUAUGUUUUAUGUGAAUUUUUUAUACUGAGCUUUGAGAAAAAUCUAGUAUAAAAUCAAAAGCAAUUAUUGUAUAUAUUGAUACGAAUAAUUUCCACCUAUCUUAUUGAAAGGGUUUUUACGUAGCAAGGUUUUUUACAGUCAUUAAUACGCUAUAUAAGAAUUGUAUAUCUGCCUGAUGUCACACUUAUCUAUUAAAUUCAGAACUAAAGCCUAUUAGAGGUACAUCAACUACUCUUUAUAAGAAUUGUAUAUCUGCUUGAUGUCACACUUACUUAUCUAUUAAAUGCAGAACUAAAGCCUAAUAGAGGUACAUCAACUACUCUUUAUAAGAAUUGUAUAUCUGCUUGAUGUCACACUAUCUUAUCUAUGAAAUGCAGCACUAAAGCCUAUUAGAGGUACAUCAACUACUCCUUAUAAGUACUGUUUUGCUUGUUUGUAUCUCAUCAUACUAUCUAUAUAUUGUAUACUGGACAAAAGCCCACUGCAGGUACGUUUUAAAAUAUUCGUUGAUGAUAACCAAGUUCUCUAAUUCAAAUUGGAACAUAUUGCCAAAAGUUUAAGUAAGUUUCAUUAAGCAAUUUAUUGUAUCUAUUCUGGAGUGUUUAGUAGUGUCAUUAGUUCAGCUGUUAAAUCUUCUCUGAUAAGAUAGGUUUGUCUUUAUGAUUGAAGGUGCAAUCUUUAAUCAAAAGUUGAACCAUUGAUGUUGAAUUUCAUACAAUCUUCUUGUCUAUAUGGAUCUGCUUGUUAGGAAUCUUUAAAGGAAUACAUUUUAUGCCCCAGUAAGGGCAAUAUGAUUUUUUUUCCUGGCCCGCUUAAGGUUAAAGUUUUUGGUCAAGUUUUUAAUCAAGGAAGUUUUGAUUAAGUUGAAGUCCAGUCAGCUUGAAACUUAGAACAUAUGUUCCCUAUGAUAUGAUUUUUCUAAUUUGAAUGCUAAAUUAGAGUUUUGACCCCAAUAUCUUGGUUUACCGAACAUAAAAAAAUGCUAAGUAUGGUUGGGGCAUCUUUGUACUAUGAACACGUUCUUGUUUGGUUUUUGAUGGGUAUUCAAGUGGAGAUUUAAGCAGUAUAUAGGUUGAUGUAGUGAAAUAUAAUCUGAUAUAGAGAGAAAACUCUCAAACUUUUUCAUUGUUAUACUGUGGAUUCAUCUUAUUUUUGUGGGUACAAAUUUCCUUGGAUUAAGGAAAAUUUGCAUUUUCUUGGAAAUCUAAUUUCACUGCUUUAGCAAAGUCUGCAAUGAAGACUUUAGGACAUUGAUAAUUUGUUUAAAAUUCAUGGUUCAACUUUACCCAAGAAAUCCAAGAAAAUUUGUAUCCAAUGAAGAGGGUGGUAAAGGGUUAUUUUCGUGCAACAUGUUUUGCCAUUUUCAUUUCACGUGCAGCCGUGAAAAAGGUUCGUUAUUCACCAUGUUUCGUGAAAUAGGGAAAAAGAUCAAUGUGCAAGAAAUUUUUAAUUGUUCGUUCAUCGUGAAAUGGCAAUUUUAUUUCGUGUUCUUCCGUGCAGAUACCCCCCUUUACGCCCCUCAAUGAAUAACAAUGAAUCAACAGUACUAUAAAUAUUUUUAAGAAAUUUCUGUGUUGUGAUAUAAAGGUUGUGCUUUGUUUUAACAUUCCAGUAAUUUUAGUUGUAUUAUGUGAUAUUGUUGUAUAUCAUUGUACAAAGAGAUGUUGUGGUUAUUGUGUUUAUUAAACAAAUCCCUCCGUUAUUCUACUUUAUUAACAAUUUGCUAUAGUUCAGUUUGUACUGCAAACUGUUUCAUAUAUUACUAACUGUUUUAAUCAACCCAAGUUUCAAACAUUUGCUAUAAUUAUGUUUAUUCUGCAAACAUUUUCAUCUCUGACAAACUGUUUUUAAGUUAUUCCAAGUUUCAAACUUGAAUUAUUUUACAUAUGCCUAUGUGAGUUUUGGUAUUCAGUUGAAUAUAUUAGGUGUAAGAUUAUUAAGCUUUACCUUUUUAUUUUCUAUUGCUUGUCCAUGGCAAACUGUGAUGAAUAAUUAUGAAAUGCCAAAUCUUAAAAAUCAAAAGCAUUAUAUUUUAUACCAGUUAUAUGAAAAUUGUUGUUUGUAAUUUUCUUUGUAUAAAAAUGGGUUUAUGAAGCAAAAUAUUUUCAACUUUGUCUAGUUUUUAGAUUAAAAUAAUAUAUUUUGGCACAAG